AUUUGAAAAUUAUUAAAGUUUCGCGUUAUUAAUAUAUAUAUAUCUAUUGAGCGAAUUUAUGAAUAUGUCUAGUCGCGCUCCUAGUCAGAUAGAUAAUUUUAAGUUAUAAAUUAUAACUUUAGCAAAUGAAAAUUAUGCUCAAAGAUUGGGCCUGAAUAAAUAUUUAUAAAUUUCUUGAUAUUGAGCCAUGUAUAUAUAUUUUCUUACGUUUGGGCUUUAAAUAGCUCAUUUUAUAAGCUUAUUUAUAAUUGGACCUGAAUUAUGUUUUAAGCUGAGAAUUUUAUAGAAGGGCCCAUAAAAACCAUAUUAUGAUAUUUUACUGAUUCUUAAUUAUGAAGCUUUAUUCUGAGAUACAAGAACGUGCCAAAUUCUUUUGCAAUGAUUUUAAAACAAUUAUUCAAGUUUCAAUAUUUAUAGUUAAUUAAUGAUUUCAAGGAUUUGGAUACCUUAUUUUCGUAUCUGCAAAUUAACAAUUUCUACUCUAUUUAUUUACAUUUGUUUAAAGAAGUCUCCAAGCCAGCCAUUCCUAUUUUCAUUCUUAUCAGAUAUCUAACCGCCCUAGUUAGAUGUGACUUUGAACUAUAAAUUAUACCUAUGGAAAUAAAGAUCUAUACUCAUAUUUUUAUAUAAAUUUGUGCCUAAAUAAAAUUAUUUAUUUAAAUAUAUUUAUUAUGACAUUAUAUUGAUUUUUGGAUAAAGAAUAAAAUAUUUUCUUAAUUUUUAUUAAUGUUGGGCUUGUUGUUAUUAAUGGGCUAAAGCUUCAUAUUUUUCAUGGAAGCCCAUACAUUCUUAUAUAUUAUAUAAAUUAUUAUUUUAAUUUAAAAGAAGGUAUAGGUGUAUCACUUUGCUACAGCCAUUUCAUUUCACUCGGCCACGUUUCGUCUCAAAACAUUCUUGAGCCACAAGUAUCAUCUCAAAUUUUCUUAUUUAAAACAUCAUCCUUUAUCAUCUCAGUUAUCAUGCCAAAAACGCAGCAAUCUUUAAGAUCAUUUGUGCUCUUUUCUCUGUAAAGAUUUCUCCAUUUGCUCUUUUCACAAAAUAAUUCAAUCUGCCAUUUCUCACUGCACAUCAUCAAUCGGUAAUUCUCAUAAACUUGUAUAGUUUUAUUUUCAUAUGCAAAGAUCUCUGCUUUCUUUCAAUUUACAGAAAACAACCAAACUCCCACAAAAUUCUUAUUUUUAUAAAUCCAAACAUGCAUACACACAUCAUUAGAUCUAGUGUUUGUAAUUCAUAAGAAAUCGAAAAGGAAUACAUAUUCAUUGAUUUUACAGAAAACAAAUUUAGAUUUAGAAACCUAUAUUGAUAAAGGGAGUUGGGAUGAAGUGGGAUGAGGAGCUACCCGCCGGAGCAGGGGGCGGCGUCAGAUGGUUGUCUGGCCGGAUCUGGAAAGGGAGAGAGGGCGGCGGCGGCAGUACAAGAAGGGAGGCGGCUGGACGCGCCUCCGUCGACACAGGGACGGCGGUGGUGGCGUUGCGGUCGGCCAAUUGGGAGGAAGAAGAGGAGUCGUCGGCCUCCGGCGACGGUGUGCCGGUGGCGGAGGCAGGGGGAGGCCGAGGGAGAGAGGGAGAAGGGGGAAAGGGAGCCUGCGUGAAUGGUGAAGUGGGGUGAGCUGCGUAUUUUGUAAUUGUGUGGUGAAAGUGAGAGUUAAAUUAGGGAUUUAAGAGAGAGAAUGAAUUUGGGCUUAAGGGUGGGCUAAAGCUUUAAUUGGGGCUUAAUUUAUUAAAUGGUUGGGCAUUAAUUUUACUAAAUAAGUUGGGCUUAAUUCUACUUUUAAUAUGGCUGCAUUUGCAUAUAUUUUUACAAAUGAUAUUAUUAAAUUUUAUAUUUCGAUUUACAUUAUUAAUUUGAACUUAGUUUUAAUUAAAUAUUGAGCCCAAAUAUUUUUAUAAGAAAAGCUCUUUUAUAAUCUAUUAGACCAAUGAUUUUUAAAUGGUUAUAUGAUAAUAAAUUCUUAAGAUUUAAAUUACUAUUACUAUUAUUAUUUUUAUAGAUUCAAAUAGGCCCUUAUAUUUUGAAUUUAUCUGACUAGGUGCGGCGCGACUAGGACGUGAACUUUAAAUUCUUGCAGUUAAUUUUCAAAACUCAAAAGUUCAAGUUUCAGGUGUGGGAUUUAUUUCAGUACAUGCACGUGGUUAAUAUUUGUCCAUUUUAAUAUUAUGUGUUUACCGUAUGUGUUGUAAAAAUAUUUAUCGCUAGGGGCCAGUAUAAUUGGUCCAGGACUUCACCGUCCUUGGUAUGCCACAAAGCGAUUUCAUGUUACAGGGUUGCAACCAUUAUAUGGUCGCCAGGGGCCCACAUAUAGGGUCCGGGACAUUAAAGUCCUUGGAGUUGCCACAGUUUUAAAGGCCGGAAGCGCGUGGAAGGUCGAAUGGCGAGUAAAAUGUUUUGAAUUUAGUUAUACUUAAAAACGUUAUGUUUAGUAAAGUAUUUUAACAUAAGAUAUUUAUUUCCCUAUUUUCACAUUAAAUAUUUAUUUAUAGUCAUUAUUUUCCACGUGCGUUUUCAUUUAAAAUUAAAAUGAAUUUGGGUGUCACAAGUCGAAUGGGCGCGUCGAAUCUAUUUAAAGAUAAAUGUUUCCUAAAACAUAUUAUGUUAUUUCAUGUGAUAUCUCUUGAUUAUGUAAACUCUGAAAUUCUAUACUAUUUGAGAUUUGUGUGUGAUUUGUUUAAAUAAAUGUUAUUAUAUUAUUUUAAUGUCAUGACUUGUUUAAUUUAUAUUUAAAUUCAUUUCAAAUAUUUAUUUAAGAAUUUAUAUCUUUACGAAAAUAUAUACAUGGAUACAUACAUAAUUUUAAUUAUAUAAAGAUUUUAUUUUGUUAUAUUUUCCGCUGCUAAAAAGAUAUUAUUUUAUAUUUAGAGUUUUUCCUUAGUAUAAGUUUUAUUAAUUAGUUAAUUAUUUUUCUGACAUCUUCAUGUCAUGCUUUGAAAAUAAAGUUGUUAAAUUUAUGAUUUAAAAAUCAAGAUUUAUAUUUGAAUACAUUAUUGAAAAUUUUGAUAUCUUAUAAAUCGUUUUAAAAGUGCUUUAAAGACCAAUUUUAUUUAAAGAAUUCUUUUUCUUAAAAUUUAUUUUCGAAAAUAUUUAUUUUAAAAAAUGAGUUUUAAAUUAUUUUAAAAGACUUCCGUAUUAAAUAUUUAUUUAAAUUUUAUAUUUAACUCCUUAAUUAGAUUAGGGUGUUACAGCAUGGUAUCAGAGCAGGUCUACUUUCCUGUAGACUCUGCAAAAUAUUUUACAUAAAAUUCUUAAAUGUCAUGUGUGAGAAAAUCCAUUCGACCUCUACGUGCUCCGGGUUCAAGGUAAAUGUAUUUUAAAAGUAUUUCAAAAUAUUUUUAUGGGGAUGAGUAUAAAUUGUUUACGUUGAAAGUAUGUUGAAAUUUGCUGCAAUAAUUGAAGUUAUUAUCAGAAAGUUCAAGUUCAUUAUGCAAGUUAUUAUGAGAAAGUUCAGUAUUCAAAUUACAUGUUGAAGAUUAUUGCAGCUAUGAAUUGUUAAUUUCGAGGACGAAAUUUUUUUUAAGUGGGUAGGUUUGUCACAGCCCAAAACCGUUUAGUUCAUUUGCAAUUUUUAUUUGAAAAUUAUUAAAGUUUCGCGUUAUUAAUAUAUAUAUAUCUAUUGAGCGAAUUUAUGAAUAUGUCUAGUCGCGCUCCUAGUCAGAUAGAUAAUUUUAAGUUAUAAAUUAUAACUUUAGCAAAUGAAAAUUAUGCUCAAAGAUUGGGCCUGAAUAAAUAUUUAUAAAUUUCUUGAUAUUGAGCCAUGUAUAUAUAUUUUCUUACGUUUGGGCUUUAAAUAGCUCAUUUUAUAAGCUUAUUUAUAAUUGGACCUGAAUUAUGUUUUAAGCUGAGAAUUUUAUAGAAGGACCCAUAAAAACCAUAUUAUGAUAUUUUACUGAUUCUUAAUUAUGAAGCUUUAUUCUGAGAUACAAGAACGUGCCAAAUUCUUUUGCAAUGAUUUUAAAACAAUUAUUCAAGUUUCAAUAUUUAUAGUUAAUUAAUGAUUUCAAGGAUUUGGAUACCUUAUUUUCGUAUCUGCAAAUUAACAAUUUCUACUCUAUUUAUUUACAUUUGUUUAAAGAAGUCUCCAAGCCAGCCAUUCCUAUUUUCAUUCUUAUCAGAUAUCUAACCGCCCUAGUUAGAUGUGACUUUGAACUAUAAAUUAUACCUAUGGAAAUAAAGAUCUAUACUCAUAUUUUUAUAUAAAUUUGUGCCUAAAUAAAAUUAUUUAUUUAAAUAUAUUUAUUAUGACAUUAUAUUGAUUUUUGGAUAAAGAAUAAAAUAUUUUCUUAAUUUUUAUUAAUGUUGGGCUUGUUGUUAUUAAUGGGCUAAAGCUUCAUAUUUUUCAUGGAAGCCCAUACAUUCUUAUAUAUUAUAUAAAUUAUUAUUUUAAUUUAAAAGAAGGUAUAGGUGUAUCACUUUGCUACAGCCAUUUCAUUUCACUCGGCCACGUUUCGUCUCAAAACAUUCUUGAGCCACAAGUAUCAUCUCAAAUUUUCUUAUUUAAAACAUCAUCCUUUAUCAUCUCAGUUAUCAUGCCAAAAACGCAGCAAUCUUUAAGAUCAUUUGUGCUCUUUUCUCUGUAAAGGUGCGGCGCGACUAGGACGUGAACUUUAAAUUCUUGCAGUUAAUUUUCAAAACUCAAAAGUUCAAGUUUCAGGUUUUAAAGGCCGGAAGCGCGUGGAAGGUCGAAUGGCGAGUAAAAUGUUUUGAAUUUAGUUAUACUUAAAAACGUUAUGUUUAGUAAAGUAUUUUAACAUAAGAUAUUUAUUUCCCUAUUUUCACAUUAAAUAUUUAUUUAUAGUCAUUAUUUUCCACGUGCGUUUUCAUUUAAAAUUAAAAUGAAUUUGGGUGUCACAAGUCGAAUGGGCGCGUCGAAUCUAUUUAAAGAUAAAUGUUUCCUAAAACAUAUUAUGUUAUUUCAUGUGAUAUCUCUUGAUUAUGUAAACUCUGAAAUUCUAUACUAUUUGAGAUUUGUGUGUGAUUUGUUUAAAUAAAUGUUAUUAUAUUAUUUUAAUGUCA